AUAAGCAAAAUAAGGGCGUAUGGGGAAUGCCUAGGCUCUCAGAGGCGAAGAAGGACGUGAUAAGCUGCGAAAAGCUACGGGGAUUGGCACACACGAAUUGAUCCGUAGAUAUCCGAAUGGGGCAACCCACUAUAUUGAAGAUAUAGUAUCCUGUAUAGGAGGCGAACCCGCUGAACUGAAACAUCUAAGUAGGCGGAGGAGAAGAAAACAAAAGUGAUUCCGUAAGUAGUGGCGAGCGAACGCGGAA
rnacentral:rRNA from 1 species